UUUGAGAGUAACUGUUCAAGGGUUGACGGUAUUUAACCAGAAAGCCACGGCUAACUACGUGCCAGCAGCCGCGGUAAUACGUAGGUGGCAAGCGUUGUCCGGAUUUAUUGGGCGUAAAGCGAGCGCAGGCGGUUUUUUAAGUCUGAUGUGAAAGCCUUCGGCUUAACCGGAGAAGUGCAUCGGAAACUGGGAGACUUGAGUGCAGAAGAGGACAGUGGAACUCCAUGUGUAGCGGUGGAAUGCGUAGAUAUAUGGAAGAACACCAGUGGCGAAGGCGGCUGUCUAGUCUGUAACUGACGCUGAGGCUCGAAAGCAUGGGUAGCGAACAGGAUUAGAUACCCUGGUAGUCCAUGCCGUAAACGAUGAGUGCUAAGUGUUGGAGGGUUUCCGCCCUUCAGUGCUGCAGCUAACGCAUUAAGCACUCCGCCUG
rnacentral:rRNA from 2 species